GGCAGAUCCAUUUUCUGCCACCGAAUACAUUAGCAUGGGAUAAUGGAAUAGGACCCUGUCCUCCUAUUUUCAGUUGGUUUUGGCAGCGCGAGGACUAGGGUAAUGAUUAAUAGGGAUAGUUGGGGGCAUUAAUAUUUAAUUGUCAGAGGUGAAAUUCUUGGAUUUAUGAAAGAUUAACUUCUGCGAAAGCAUCUGCCAAGGAUGUUUUCAUUAAUCAAGAACGAAAGUUAGGGGAUCGAAGACGAUCAGAUACCGUCGUAGUCUUAACCAUAAACGAUGCCGACCAGCGAUUAGGAGACGUUGAAUACAAAACACCACCAUCGGUGCGGUCGUCCUUGGCGCGUUGGUCUUCAAAAGCCAGCGCGGGGGGGCGGCUUAGCCCGGUGGCACCGGUGAAUGACUCCCCUAGCAUCUUGUGAAAA
rnacentral:rRNA from 1 species